rnacentral:lncRNA from 1 species
GUGGUCGGAGAAGAUUUGAGGAAGCAGUCGGAUCGGCAACGAGGCGCGACGCGUGGGUGAAAAUGAAAGAAAAUGGACGGUGGUCGGCUUUGGUGCUGGGAUCGCGGAAUUGCCGGGAAACAGGAUUUGGGAGCUCAAACGGUGAAAAGAUUUUGAAAAUGAUUUUUAGCGAGUGAUUUAACUUGGUGGAUUUUUUCGGGACAUUACAGUUCUUUACGAUUCUCAAUAGCUCCCCCAAUCCCUUAUUGGUCAGACCACUUGCUACCUUCCUUUACAUCAAUUCCAGUGUCCUAC